GCAGGAGGGGAAGAUGAGCCGAGUCUGAGAUAGACCUUGGGUGUGAGUCUGGAGUUAGUCCUGGAUCUGUGCUGGAGGCGCACACAGGCGGGAGCCGUCGUCAAGCAUGCGGGAAGUCGUCAUCCUCCUGGUCCUCCUGGGUGCCACCUCAGGUGGGAGCUCCAUUUUGCUUUGGAACCUUGCAGGGCCUACUUGGUUUGCAGGAUACCAUGGUGUGAUAAUGUCUUCCAUGGUGGGCUUAUCUGCAAUGAUGAAUCAGACGCAGCAGCUUCAGGAGGCCUGGGGGCUGGCACAGGGGGUGCAAGAGAGAGGUGCUCCGAGAACCACCAUCUAGUCUGUUCUACAGACUUCACUCUCCCCCGUGCUCUGACUGGCUUGUGCUGGAACUUUCAUAGCAGCGAUCUGUGCACAUGUCAAGUCAGGCUUUAUGGAGUUUAUGGCUCCUCUCUGGAGCCUUGGGGGACAACCUGAGGCUGGCAAGUCUGGGGAAACUGAGAUCCUUAGAGGCCACUGUCUUUGUAUGGAACAAAGAAAACACCUUCUGAUAGAAAGAACCAAAAAUUCAGCCUAAUCCUUCUUAUACCCCCCCUCUUUCUUUUUUUUAAAUUUUUUUUUAAAUUUGUUUUUAACAUUUAGUUUUUAGUUUUCGGAGAACACACUUGUUUAUAUGUGGUGCUGAGGAUCGAACCCGGGCCGCACGCAUGCCAGGCGAGCGUGCUACCGCUUGAGCCACAUCCCCAGCCCCUACCCCCCUCUUUCUUAAUCAAGAGCUUUAAGAACUGGAUGAUCUUUUUUGAUGUUGUCAGUUUGGAUUAUUGAACUUGAGAUUUUUAAAUUCUUUUAUUUUUGAGUAGGUCGUUUAUGCAUAAUGUAUGGAAUUCAAUCAUGUUAAUUUGUAGAUUAAUUUAGGGAUCAUUUACAUCUUGGAUGAGUUAUGUAGUCAAAUACUUAGGGGAGUGUCUGGAACAUAGUAAAUGCUUAGUAAAUGUUAGUGAUUAUUAUUUGUGCAGCUGAGUCUUCCUGACUGAGGAGCAGUGUUCUAGAUACUUGUUCAAGUCUUCCUUUGUUUUCCUCAGGAGUAUUUUAAGGUUUCCUUCAUAUAGAUAUUGCACAUUCUGAUCAUGGCUAUUUCUAGUGCUUUCCUUUUUCUAUUUUUACAUGUGAAGAUGGAAUCUUUUCUUCCCUUGUCUUUUAACUUAUUAUUGUAUGAUAUAGGAAAUCUAUUAGUGCAUUAUCUCACCAUUUAUGAUCUUCUUAGUUGAUUCACAUGCAUUUUCCAGGUUUGAAAAGAAUGAACAUUUCUACUCUUCCUCUCCUAUUUUUAUACCCUCUAUUUCUCCCUCUUAUCUAAUUGCCAGGCCUAUGCCUGCAGACCAUUGUUAAAUAAUAAGAGUGUGCAUUUCUGUCCUGUUCCACACUAAACAUGAUGCUAGCUUUCAGAGCGAGAGAAAUGUUUGACAUACUAAGGGGUUAGCCUUUGUUCUUGUUUUAUUGGGAGUUUUUCUAAAUAAAAAUGGAUUUUUAAGUCAAAUGCUUUUUUAAUGAUCUAUGGAAAUGACCAUUUGAUUUUCCUCUUUGAUCUGCUAACCGAAUAAAUGCCUGGGUUUCCUAAAGUGGAGGCUUCCUUCAACUUGGGCUUUCAGACCCUGCAGGGAGCAGGUGGAACUGUGUAGAGAAGCAGUCCUUGAGCAGCCCAGCCUCUUGCUUGAAGUAAACAUUGCAGUUUCUGCAGAAGUAUGGGCUUUUAGGCCAUAAUCAUUUGAGUUAAGGGGUGACAUUUAUUGUCACUGUGGCGGGGAGAGUGAGGUUAGGAAGAACCCAGUGCCUCCUACUUGAACACUACCAUUUGGAUCUUUAUUAUCAGAUGUGUGAGAGGAGCAGAUCACAAAGGUAUGCAAUAAAUAUUUUAUAUAUAUAAUUUAAAAAGAUAAUUCUCUGGAGGCUUUCUCAAAAUAUCCACAUCUUCUGCUCAUAGUGGGUCCCCAAAGACCAUGGAUUUUAUCAUGCUUUUACUUCCACAGUUCAAAUCCUAGUUUUGGAAGGGCUAUCAGAAUGCAAACUCUCCAUCUCUCAACUUUUGUGAGUCCAAGUACCUGAUCAUGACGCUCCUGAUAUUGCACAUUUUUUUUGGGGGGGGGGCUACUGGGGAUUGAACUCAGGGGCACUCAACCACUGAGCCACAUCCCCAGCCCUAUUUUGUAUUUUCUUUAGAGACAGGGUCUCACUGAGUUGCUUAGUGCCUUCCUUUUGCUGAGGUUGGCUUUGAACUCUUCCUGCCUCAGCCUCCUGGGCCACUGGGAUUAUAGACGUGCACCACCCCACCUGGUGAUAUGGCGCGUUCUGAUCAUGUAUAUUUCUAGUGCUUGAACACUAGGGUGACAGGGGAUUCUGGGGGCAAGGGCAUACAUAUCAGCACCUGCCUUCAGCAUGCAGGAAGUAGGCAUCACUGUACACUCUCAAAUAAACUAACAUCCUCUCAGGCUUCUCUUCUCUUUCCUCGGGCCCUAUGCUUCUUUCGAGGACCAGUUCAAGCCCCACCGCCCUGUGGAGCUGCUCUAUCUUGGGAAGAGCCCUCUUCCCACUGCACCCCGGAGCUCCUCUUGCCUGCAUGACUGCUGUGUGCCAACCGCUUGGCACAGUGCCCCACACACUCAGUGGCACUCAGCAAAGUUAGCAGGAGCUGUCAUUCUGUAAUCCAUUUGAUAUGCGCCUGUCCCGGCUCUUCAACCACACUGCCAUCCCUGCCAUAUCAGGUUUAAUGUUUACUAUUACCUUGUAGGUCCUGAGUGCCACACAGAGGAGACCCAAUAAAUGUUUGUCAUUUCAUCAACCACCAUGCCUUCUGAAUCUAGUGUGGGUUGAUUUAUUUUUUUCCCCACUUACUGAUUACCCCCUCACCAAAUGCAGAAUUUUAGAUUUAUUUUUCUGCCUGCUUCAUGUUGGCAUUUAAAAAAAAAUGGAGGCUUUCUCAAAAUGUCCACAUCUUCUGUGCAUAGUGGGUCCCCACAUGUGUGAGGCAAGCACUCUAUGGCUGAGCCACAACCCCAGCCCCUUCAGUUUGGCAUUUAAAUUAGCUUCUGUCCUUUUCAUCUCCUAUUAGGAUGAAGGAAAUGAAAGUUUCUCUUUGGGAAGGGAUCAUGUCCCAUUCUAAUAACAACUUACAAAGAAAGCACCCCUCCCCAGACUGCAAAAAAAAAAAAAAAGUAGAUGAAACUCUCAACUGUAUUCAUGGGAAAGGGUUGAGACAAAAUAGCCUUCUCGAGCUGCCUCAGCACUGAAGAACCACCUGUAAUUCUCAGAAGAUGAAGGUCCUAUUAAAGAAGCCUUGGUGUAUUUGAACCCACUGCACUUAGAACCUGUCUACAUUUCGAGAAAGUCUCCAGGGGACUAGCUUUUGUAUUGCUCUCAUGGAAAUAGAACAUUCCAGGGUUUUUACGGAGAGAAGGGUUCCUCGGUGAUGGAGAUCUCCAUGAACAUGCAAAGGUACCAAGCCAUCUGCCUGACUUUUGUCCAUAGCUGCAAAGCUAUGCCUAGUCUCUCCAGGAAGUCCCUGAGCCCAUCUUCUGGGCUUGGUACUUUGCUAGGCAAUGUCAAGAAGUCAGAAAAAGUCCAAGAUUCAAUGUCUUAUGCCCCUAGAGAAACUAGGUAUAACUGUUUCUUAAUGCUCUCUUCAUUGAAAAAGGCAGGAAGAUGCAGUCUAUUUCCAGAAAGUCUUUCUCAAACACUGGAGUGAGGGCUCAAGUCCCUGGAACCCACCUGCUUUUCACCUUUGUGGAGCUGGUAAAGGUUUGAAAGAAACCAACCCUUCUCAGAUCAGAACCUGAGUGAUGUUCCAAGGCAAGCAAAUUUUUCUCUUGCCAAUUAUAAUAUAGUGCCAUGUCCAGAAUCAUUGCGAGAGUUCUCUUCUUUUCCUCUGUGUCCAAUUAAGGGCUCUGGUCUAUCAGUCUUUUCUGCAUGGAUCAGCUCUUCCAAAAGGAAAGGCAAGCAUCCCAUUCAGAAAGUACACAUGGCGGAAAUGAGAGCAAUAGAAAAACGUUGCACAUACCCAAACAAACAUUCUGUCAUCUUUCAUAGUUUACUGAAUAUAGGAUUUUCAUUUAUGGUAUCUGGGCUGUAACCAUGAGUUCUAGCAGUCCUGGUAUGAGCCUGAGUUGUUUUGCUAAAGUUCCUGCACCAUGCUGACCCUGAUCAAGGCGUGAAGCAAUGCUGCUUAGUAAUGUGGUUUUGUAACCAUGGGUCCUAGGAGUUUCUGCAUGGUUUGUACCUGCUUGUAAGCAUUGUUUAAUUGAUAACAGUGAGAUUGAUGAUUUGCACCUGGUCUCACCUAGAACCUCACGAGGCUGUGCUGUUGAGGCUGGUUAUAUAGCAAGAAUGUGCCUACAGCAAAAGAGAAAAAAUUCCAGCAGAGGCUCCAUUUUGGGUACUGUGUUUCCAAGGUACUUGCUAUGUUUUGAAUGUGUCUCCCAAAGUUCAGGUCUUAGAAGCAGUUCCCACUGAGAAUAGCAAUGAGAGAUGGAAUCUUUAAGAGAUGAUCAGGUCAUUAUUGUGGAAGCUAAAUGCCAUUAUGAUGGGAGUGGGUUUGAUGCUAAGGGAGUGGGCUGGACUUCUCUCACAGAACAGUGCCUUCUGCUACAUUAUGAAAAAGCAGGAAGGCCCCUCAAUUCGGAUUUUCCAGCCUCCAGAACUGUGAGCCAAAUAAACUUCCAUUGCUUAUAAAUUACCCAGUCUGUGCUCUUCUGUUACUUGCAGCACAAACUAAGAUGGCAUUUGUGCUUACAUCUGUGAUUCCUGACCUGACAAAGUGUAUCCUGCAUGUUCCUUAGAAAAAAAGGGACAACAGGAGCUUACUUCCAGCCCUUCUGGAUCUCUUGCUAUGAGGCAUCGUUCAGAGGUGAUUAAGUAUCCUCACUUUAAUGUUCUUGCUAUGUUGUAUUUUUUUCUUAUAAUAAAACUGUAGAUUCGCAAAAUUAUCACUGGGUCCUGGGCAAGUUCACUGGCAGUAGAACCUGUUUAAAAGCCCCUGUUGGUGUGGCACUGCAUCCCUGAAAGACAGUUGAUAGGGAAGCUCAGGCAGGGCCCAGCCCACUGUCACACAAUCAAGUAGCAGCAAAGCCAAAGCCAGAAGCAAGAGCUAAUUUCAAGUCCCUUGCUCCUUUCACAACUCUGAUUUCUUUUACUACUAUUUCGAUUAGCUACUAGAGAGUGGCACCUCAGAGAGUGGCACUAUUCUCUCUGUGUACUGAAAAGAGGUACAAGUUAGAGCAGCCACAUCCCUAGAAGGAGAAGGUGGCCUCACCCCACAUCCUGAAUCCAUGUCACCAUUUAUGGGGUUGGGGGCCCAGGGCAGUCACAUCCUCCCCUGUAACUGAGGCUGAGGAGACCUUGCCUCAACACAGACUCCUGGGAGGAGGCCCCAGGAGCUGUUUCUGGAAAGUCAGUGAUUCAGGGGAAACAAGUGAGCACGUCAAGCACCCAGAUCUCAAGCACAAGAGACAAGCUGCAGUGGGCUCAGGGACCGAUACUAGAUCUCCUGCAGGCCUUUUCUUUUUCAAAGUGUAACCUUCAAGCAAUUCUAAUUUGAGCAUUAAUUAAGAUUCAUGUGUAAGUCAAAUUCCAUUAAACCCUCAUUCCUGCUCUUCAGUAUUCAGACCAUAAAAUAAAGCCUUCUGGAAAAGUGCAGUGUCUUCCAAAGACCUGGCCCUUGGCCUCUAACCUGCCCUCUGCCACUGCUCAGUGGGGUGCUUUGGGUACACAGCUCAAACUUAUCUGUGUAAUGAAUGGAUUGACCAUUUUUGAACACUGCAUCUUACUAAUUGCUCUAUUUAUAGCACGAGUCACUUUUUAAAUUAUUGCUAUUGCUAUUACUAGUACUUUUUUUUUAAAGCAAAGAAGCUGGAAAAACUGGGUAUUUAGAUUGCAGUGGGUCUACCUUUCUUAUCAGUAUCCACAGAAUGUCUGCCUUAAAGCUUUUGGAUUCAGGUGCACAAUCCUGGAACACACAACUGUACCCUGGGAAGAGAGGUCACCAGCCAAGCAGAACAUUACCAGCAAGAAUGUCCGCAGAAUGGGCAUAUCCAAGGACAGUUUGGCUCUAGCCACAAGUGGAGCAAACAGUUUUCAAUACAAAUUGCUUGAGGUCAAGGGAUCUAUCCACUUCUCCUUCCAAAAUAUCUCCCUCACUACAAAAAUGACCAUUCCAGGAAGACUAUGAAAAGAUAUAUAUAUAUAUAUAUAUAUAUAUAUAUAUAUAUAUAUAUAUAUAUAUAUAUAUAUAUAUACCACACACACACAUACAUACAUACAAGGAGGCAGUAUAGAGCUGUCCUUGAGUCAGAUGUCUUGUGUUGGAAUGCUGGUGUUCUUUCAUGACAUUAGUCUCCCAGACAUAGUAAUGCCAAAGUCAUGAUCAAUGCAACAAAACCAAGGGAUACUCUCCCAGCAGAGCAAACCAGAACUGUCAGCAGACAAUAUAUGGGGAUGACAGCUUCUCGGUUUCCCUCAGCUCCUCAAAGGGAAUGCAUCAAGUUUGGUGGCCAUGAGAAUCUGCCUAUACAGGGCGAGGCUGUAGAAAAAUCCAACUGGAGCUUAGCAAGCUGCUUAUCCAUGAAUCCCCAGCAAGCUCAUUUCCCAGCCCAAUUCUUUAUGUUAUUCUAACAAACAAACAAACAAACAAACAAAAAAACCAGCCUCUUGUAGAUCACAUCAUCCAGAUUUAGCAUCCAGGUGGAAGGUCCAAUUUCUUAUCAAGCCCUGGAGCCAUGUUGCUGCAGUGUUCCCAAGUGACAGAAUAACUACUGUGUGUCCCAGGUACAUGGCUGUGUUGCAGAUACAGAGCAACAGACUCUGUGGUAGGUAUGGACUGUCAGUUAUCUACAAGAUCCAGAGGCAGGAAGCCAAGCCCACCACAGUCACUUACUGAGUGUGUGAUGACUUCAGGUAUGUUGGGAGUGGACGCCAUAGGUAGGAAAGCCCCUGGCACUGUGCCUGGUGAGGUGAGGUUUGGUAAAUACAGGUGGUUAAUUGCUUCAAUCUGUUCAUUUGGGUGGGGCAGGCUAUUCAUAAAAAUAAAAAAUAAAAAAUUUUAAAGUAGCAAGUUAUGUCUUUGCUCCUCAAUGGAGGGGCACAAGUCACUGGGGCGCAAGGAGGGGUGGAAAGGAGUACGGGCAAGAAGAUGGGGCCCUAGAAAAUUAAGUGCCAAUCUCUGAUUCUGCUGUGGUUGCCCUUGUCUUGCUAAGCAGUGAGGAAACUGUCAUGAACAGCUUGGGGGGUGCCCUGGUGAGUUUUGCUUGUGGUCAAAAGAAUGUGAGCACGUUAGGCCUAAAAACUUUGUCCAACCAAAGGGAUUCAUUACUCUGCUCAUUUUGAAAAACUCUUCAUAGAAGCAUUUCAUCUCUAAAUAUUCCAGCCAUACUCUUUAGCUCCUGGUUUUUAUUGCAAAACUGCUAUUAUAUCAGAGUCAAGGUAAAUAGAUGUAAAAAGCUACUCAUAACCACAUCACCCGAAACCUCGGCUGUUUGCAUGUGUGAGUCCUUACACAGUCCCUGCGUAUAAAGCGUGAUAAUUCUGUGAGCAAAAAUAAAAAGUAUGCAUUUUAAUCUCUAAGCUGAAAGUUUGUAUUCAUGAUGUGCUUCUAUUUCAAUUUUUCUCACACUUCCAUGUAUUCCUCUGCAUCCCUCCCUUGCUGAAAUAAAAGCAUCCCCUGAUAAAGCCAAACCUUUCCCCAGGACUUGACUGUCUCUAGAAUCUUCACACCUUUCAGUAGGACAGAUCCUUCUACUGUCCCUCCUUACCCCUUUGUCUCCUACCAUUCUGGGAGUUUGGAUCCCAGUGGCAGAUGGUGGUCAAGAAGGGGAAGCUGACUGGGAAGUAGGACCUCAGCGUAAGUCUUGGCUUUGUUAUUUGUUAUUUGCUAUGUGACUUUACACUAAGCUUCCCCAUCUGUAAAAUGAUAAUAUUAAUACCUAUCUGAGAGGGGUGGGUUUUUCUGGGUGGUGGGGGUACUAGGGAUUAAAUUCAGGGGCACUCAACCACUGAGCCACAUCCCCAGCCCUAUUUUGUGUUUUAUUUAGAGACAGGGUCUCACUGAGUUGCUUAGUGCCUCAUUGUUAAGGCUGGCUUUGAACUCAUUCAUGAUCCUCCUGCCUCAGCCUCCUGAGCUGCUGGGAUUACAGGCGUGCGCCACAGCGCCUGCCGGAGAGGGGUGUUUUUGAGAAGUAAAUGAAGUAAAGGAUUUUUCAUUAUACACUUAUUUAGAACAUUGGGGAAAUGGUCAUUGGAUUUAUUUCCUAGGGCUGCAGUGACCAAUCACUUCAAAUUGGGUGGCUUAAAACACUUUUCUCUCACAUAGUUCAGGAGACCAGAAAUCCAAAAUCAAGGUAUUGGCAGGGUUAAUUCUUUCUUGAGGCAAAAUCUGUUCUGUGCCCACCUCCACCUUGCUUCUGCUGAUUGCUUUUUAUUCCUUGACUCGUAUCUGUAUCUUUCCAAUCUCUGCCUCUGUUAUUUCAUGGCCUUCCUGUGUCUCCGUGUCCUGCUUCCACACAAGGACACCAGUCUUGGGGUUAGAGCCCACACUAAUCCAAUAUGCCUUCCUUUUAACUUUACUAAUUACAUGGGUGAAAACUCCAUUUCCGAAUCUUUGGGGGGAAUUACUCAGUCCAGGACAGUCACAGAAACUAGGAAAGCCUGAGAGAAUGGGGUCUCCACUGGCUCUCUCUGUGCUGGUCAAGUCUCACAGAGUAUCACGAGUGUCUUAGAAUGGUUCCAAGCCUUUCUUGGAAGAAAUACCCUUUCUCUUAAAUUAAAAAGGGGCUUGUGUGUCACACAGCCUGAGGCAAUCCACAUUCCCUUGCUUGAUUCUCAUUUUCUCCUCUGUGAAAGGGAGUUAAUCAAUCACCCAAGAAGUGCUGAUGGACUCCCUACAUGAUGUCCAACAACAUGGCACUAACAAUGACAAAAAAUUGCCGUUGAGAUGGCUGGUGGAUGUGGAGAGGUCACCCAUGAGGUUGGAAUUGUCUAGUCAUACACACUCGAUUCUCAGAUGACCUCAUGAAUUGAACACUGCUGCGGAGACGGAAAACAAAAUUACAAACUGCAAGAGAGAGAGAGAGAGAGAGAGGGUGUCCUUACCACACUAGGGCCUUCAAGGCGGCAGGGGCUGGGGAAGGUCCUCUCUCCUUAGAUAUCACAUUUUUCUUUUCCUUAGCUCUUCAUAAAAACGGGUGUGAGGAAGAAGAAGAAGAAAAGUAGGGAGACAAGAGAAAAGGCAGCAGCUUCACUGACUGAAGGACAGAGCAGAUUGCUGGGGUUGUUCCUCGGUUCCCAGAAGGUCUCACAUUUCCUUUUCUAGCACUUGGCAGCAGCAUUUGUUCUUGGGGAGUGACCAGGUCUCAUCACUGCCGUGAACUAAAGCCACAAACCAAGUUGAUAAGCCCCCUGUUCCCAGCAAAAAGCUCUGUGCUCAUGUCGUUUUGUGUCUUUUUUAAAUCCACAGGAGGAGGGACCUUACAUCUAAUCCACUUACCUGCCACAAGCAACGUGGCAGAGAAUUCCCCACCUGAGACUUUGGUGCACAAGUUUUCUGUGAAUUUGUCAGUAUCAUUGUCACCUGUGAUCCCAGGAUUUCCCCAGAUAAUCAACUCCAAUCCCCUCACUGAAGCCUUCAGGGUGAACUGGCUGUCGGGCACUGACUUUGAGGUAAGCUGCCUUUCACCAGCUCCACCCACAGG
rnacentral:lncRNA from 1 species